AAAACCUCAGUAGUUAAGAGUGAGCUUUGGGUAGAUACAGGUUUACAGUAUCAGAAGAAUGAUGGUUACGAGAUAAGCGUGGCAAUGGAGAUCUCAGAUCUAUCUAACGAGCGUUUGCUCGAAUGGUCAAUCAUGGAAUGAUAAAGGAGGACUUCAGUUCUAUUUAUUGGUUCAAGAACUGAGGUGAAAUUCGUGGACCGCAGGGGGACGCCCUAAAGCGAAAGCAUUUGCCAAGAAUGUCUUCAUUAAUCAAGAACGAAAGUCAGAGGUUCGAAGGCGAUUAGAUACCGCCCUAGUUCUGACCGUAAACUAUGCCAUCUAGCGAUCCGAUGGGGUAUUGUUGCCUUGUCGAGGAGCUUCCCGGAAACGAAAGUCUUUCGGUU
rnacentral:ncRNA from 1 species